rnacentral:rRNA from 1 species
UGGGGAAUAUUGCACAAUGGGCGCAAGCCUGAUGCAGCCAUGCCGCGUGUAUGAAGAAGGCCUUCGGGUUGUAAAGUACUUUCAGUCGGGAGGAAGGCGGUGAGGUUAAUAACCUCAUCGAUUGACGUUACCCGCAGAAGAAGCACCGGCUAACUCCGUGCCAGCAGCCGCGGUAAUACGGAGGGUGCAAGCGUUAAUCGGAAUUACUGGGCGUAAAGCGCACGCAGGCGGUCUGUCAAGUCGGAUGUGAAAUCCCCGGGCUCAACCUGGGAACUGCAUUCGAAACUGGCAGGCUAGAGUCUUGUAGAGGGGGGUAGAAUUCCAGGUGUAGCGGUGAAAUGCGUAGAGAUCUGGAGGAAUACCGGUGGCGAAGGCGGCCCCCUGGACAAAGACUGACGCUCAGGUGCGAAAGCGUGGGGAGCAAACAGG